AGAGAAAAAUAACUGCAUCUGUAACUGAAACUAUCUCAAGUAUAAAAGCGAGCUUUUUCAAAACUAAAUAUCAUUCAUUUAACAGCAGCAUCGAAAGAAAAAUUCUAAAGUCAAGACUUGAUCAACAUGCCAGGAGAAACUCCAAUGACCACAGAUGCGGCCGCAAGAAUCCAGAGCUCCGAGGCCAAAAGCAGCGGAACAGGCCAAACGCAGUCGGGAGGAUUCGCCUCCAGGGCGCAAGGAGCUGCUGCGGACAAUGUGAAUCAAGGGAAAACUCAGCACCAAGGGGGCAAAAAAUGAUCGAGGAACAAAGUGAGAAGUUGAAUGGAUCAAAUUGACUCUAGUCUAGAAAUUUGCUAACAUGAAUGAAAAAAAUCAAAGAAAUGAGCGAUUUACAUCUGAAAGACUCGUAGUAACUUUUGUUUACUUGGUACAAUUUAUGUUAAGUUUGUAAAUUCUGCAAUACAUACCAUGCAUGCAAAUUUAAUUUCUAUCCACAUUAAUUCAUGGUUGAUUGAAUUUUA